AAUGAACGUUGGCGGCGUGGAUUAGGCAUGCAAGUCGUGCGGCAGCAGGCCCGCAAGGGCGCUGGCGAGCGGCGAAAGGGAGAGGAACACGCGGGUACCUACCCUCAGGACCGGGAUAGCUGCGGGAAACUGCAAUUAAUACCGGAUGAUGUCUCCGGACCAAAGGUGUGAUUCCGCCGGAGGAGGGGCCCACGUCCUAUCAGCUAGUUGGUGAGGUAAUGGCCCACCAAGGCUACGACGGGUACGGGGUGUGAGAGCAUGCCCCCGCUCACUGGGACUGAGACACUGCCCAGACACCUACGGGUGGCUGCAGUCGAGAAUCUUCCGCAAUGGGCGAAAGCCUGACGGAGCGACGCCGCGUGCGGGAUGAAGGCCUUCGGGUUGUAAACCGCUGUCAGUGGGGAGGAAGUACAUGGGGGUUCUCCCCUGUGUUUGACCGAUCCGCAGAGGAAGCACAGGCUAAGUUCGUGCCAGCAGCCGCAGUAAAAC
rnacentral:rRNA from 1 species